rnacentral:rRNA from 1 species
UACGGAGGGUGCGAGCGUUGUCCGGAAUCACUGGGCGUAAAGGGCGCGUAGGUGGCUCGGUAAGCGGGCGGUGAAAGUCCAGGGCUCAACCCCGGAUCUGCCGUGCGGACUGCCGUGGCUCGAGCACUGUAGAGGCAGGUAGAAUUCCGGGUGUAGCGGUGGAAUGCGUAGAGAUCCGGAAGAAUACCGGUGGCGAAGGCGGCCUGCUGGGCAGUUGCUGACACUGAGGCGCGACAGCGUGGGGAGCAAACAGG